rnacentral:rRNA from 1 species
AACAUGUGGUGUAGCGGUGAAAUGCAUAGAUAUCACAUAGAACACCGAUCGCGAAGGCAGGUGACCAACCAUGUACUGACGCUGAUGGACGAAAGCGUGGGUAGCGAACGGGAUUAGAUACCCCGGUAGUCCACGCCGUAAACGAUGGAUACUAGCUGUGGGGACUUCGGUCUCCGUGGCCAAGCGAAAGUGAUAAGUAUCCCACCUGGGGAGUACGUUCGCAAGAAUGAAACUCAAAGGAAUUGACGGGGGCCCGCACAAGCGGUGGAGCAUGUGGUUUAAUUCGAUGAUACGCGAGGAACCUUACCAGGGCUUAAAUGCAGGCUGCAUGGGGUAGAGAUACCCCUUUCUUCGGACCGCCUGCAAGGUGCUGCAUGGUUGUCGUCAGCUCGUGCCGUGAGGUGUCAGGUUAAGUCCUAUAACGAGCGCAACCCCUACCGUUAGUUGCCAGCAUGUCAAGAUGGGGACUCUAACGGGACUGCCGGUGCAAACCGUGAGGAAGGUGGGGACGACGUCAAAUCAUCACGGCCCUUACGUCCUGGGCUACACACGUGCUACAAUGGCCGGUACAGAGGGAAGCCACCCCGCAAGGGGGCGCGGAUCUACAAAACCGGUCACAGUUCGGAUCGGGGUCUGCAACUCGACCCCGUGAAGCUGGAAUCGCUAGUAAUCGGAUAUCAGCCAUGAUCCGGUGAAUACGUUCCCGGGCCUUGUACACACCGCCCGUCAAGCCAUGGAAGCCGGGAGUGCCUGAAGUCCGUCACCGAGAG